rnacentral:lncRNA from 1 species
GAGUCACAGCCUGGCCACAGACAACUCAACUAGUCCCCCCAAAAGGCAGAAAGGAGAAAAGUGCCAGAGAGAAAAGAGUCAGUGUGCGGUUUGGGAGAAAAUGUGUCGGAUAUUUUGGGGCGGUCACGUGGGCGGGCGGGCUCCGAGAGGCCCCGGGACAGUCCCAGCCUAGAGCCGUGCCCCCCCAGGAGCCCCCCAGUACGGCGAGCCCCGGACAUUGCGACGCUCCAUCCAAGAGACUGCCCGACGCCGGGACCUCGGGGCUCCGCCGCCUCCCUUCCCCCUCCCACUCCAGUGGAAUGGGACAGCUUGGACAUCAGAAGGCAAGGAAAACGUCCAGAGGCAAGUGAGCCUGGCCCUCCGCGUCCAGGAGUUCCGAAGGACUGGUGCAUAGGAUAGGGAUCUGUGAACUUUCCUUGAAGCGCUGGAUUCCCUCCCACACGUUCCCAGCCCAGCAGCUACGGCCCAGUUCCCUCAACCUGACCCAGUAUGUAGAAGCCAGUCUCUGCAGGCGGCCAGCGGG